AUUCCAGCUCCAAUAGCGUAUAUUAAAGUUGUUGCAGUUAAAAAGCUCGUAGUUGGAUUUCGGGACGGGCCAGUCGGUCCACCGCAAGGUGUGUCACUGACUGGUCUGUUCUUCUUCGCAAAGACUGCAUGUGCACUUCACUGUGUGGGUGUAGGAUUUACGACGUUUACUUUGAAAAAAUUAGAGUGUUCAAAGCAGGCUAUCGCUUGAAUACAUGAGCAUGGAAUAAUGGAAUAGGACUUUGGUUCUAUUUUGUUGGUUUCUAGGACCGAAGUAAUGAUUAAGAGGGACAAUUGGGGGCAUCCGUAUUUCGUUGUCAGAGGUGAAAUUCUUGGAUUUACGAAAGACGAACAACUGCGAAAGCACUUGCCAAGAGUGUUUUCAUUG
rnacentral:rRNA from 1 species